rnacentral:rRNA from 1 species
UACUACGGGAGGCAGCAGUGGGGAAUAUUGGACAAUGGGGGCAACCCUGAUCCAGCCAUGCCGCGUGAGUGAUGAAGGCCCUAGGGUUGUAAAGCUCUUUCAGCGAGGAGGAUAAUGACGUUACUCGCAGAAAAAGCCCCGGCUAACUUCGUGCCAGCAGCCGCGGUAAUACAAAGGGGGCUAGCGUUGUUCGGAAUCACUGGGCGUAAAGCGCACGUAGGCGGAUUGAUAAGUUAGGGGUGAAAUCCCGGGGCUCAACCUCGGAACUGCCUUUGAUACUGUCAGUCUUGAGUCCAAGAGAGGUGAGUGGAACUCCGAGUGUAGAGGUGAAAUUCGUAGAUAUUCGGAAGAACACCAGUGGCGAAGGCGGCUCACUGGCUCGGUACUGACGCUGAGGUGCGAAAGCGUGGGGAGCAAACAGGAUUAAAUACCCUGGUAGCCCCCCCCGAAAAACAAGGAAGCUAGCCGUCAGGUAGCAUGCUAUUUGGGGGCCCACCUAAACCAUUAAGCUUCCCCCCC